rnacentral:misc_RNA from 1 species
GGGACACAGGCCUGUGACACUUGUAGGAUUUUCACUAGGGGCAAGAGUUAUUUUUAAAUGUCUACAGGUUUUGGCUGAGAGUGAAAAUAAUUCUGGACUAGUGGAAAGGGUCGUACUUCUUGGGGCACCUAUUGCAAUUAAAGAUAUGGACUGGGAGGCAGCUAGAAAGGUGGUAGCUGGUAGAUUUGUGAAUGCUUAUUCUACAAAUGAUUGGAUGCUUGGAGUUGCCUUUCGUGCCAGUCUCCUUACUCAAGGCCUGGCUGGAAUUCAACCAGUUGAGAUUCCUGGUGUUGAGAAUGUUGAUGUAACGGAAUUCAUCGAGGGCCAUUCGUCGUAUUUAUGGGCUACACAAGAGAUUUUAGAACUACUUGAGCUGGAUACUUAUUAUCCUGUUUUUGGUCAUCGUACUGUAAAAACAUAAUUUUUACAUUUCUUAUUUCUUGUAGGCACUUCAUUUUUGUGAGUUGUGACCUCACACAUUUACCAACUGUAAAACUUCAGUAUGUGAGUAAGAUUCUGAAACAACAAUAAGCAAACUUUGUAAAUUUUAAUGGCUAAGUUCUGUUUCC